AACGAACGCUGGCGGCAUGCCUAACACAUGCAAGUCGAACGAGACCUUCGGGUCUAGUGGCGCACGGGUGCGUAACGCGUGGGAACCUGCCCCUAGGUUCGGAAUAACUCCCCGAAAGGGGUGCUAAUACCGGAUAAUGUCUUCGGACCAAAGAUUUAUCGCCUUUGGAUGGGCCCGCGUUGGAUUAGCUAGUUGGUAGGGUAAAAGCCUACCAAGGCGACGAUCCAUAGCUGGUCUGAGAGGAUGAUCAGCCACACUGGGACUGAGACACGGCCCAGACUCCUACGGGAAGCAGCAGUGGGGAAUAUUGGACAAUGGGCGAAAGCCUGAUCCAGCAAUGCCGCGUGAGUGAUGAAGGCCUUAGGGUUGUAAAGCUCUUUUACCCGGGAUGAUAAUGACAGUACCGGGAGAAUAAGCUCCGGCUAACUCCGUG
rnacentral:rRNA from 1 species